CCUGUCAAGAAUUUUUAUUUUGCCAAUAAUUAUAUGUAGUAUACAUUUUGUACCUCUGAGAAUAGACGCUUGCUGUAUUUUUCCUCAAAAUAAAUGAUGGACUUUCGUAAGAGCCAAAUAACCAUAUGCAAUGCAACUUAGCAAUGAAUAUUAAGCAAAACAAUUGUUACCACAGUGCUUUAAAUUGAAUUAAUAUAAAUCAUGGCCUGUCACGUGCGCUGGGCCUCUAUAUAAUCAAUAGAUCCUAGUGCAGUGACAUUAUUUAUUAGCAAAAGAGACAGUACAUUGUAAUUGUCGAUGAGGUCUGGCAUAAAAUUGGUUAAUGGCAUUAGGGAUGAUCCUCUGGAAUAAUUGGACAGCCACUUUAUCUGCAAUAAUCAGUAGCCUGCUCUCCAGCCAAGGAGAAACUACAAGCCCCAUAAUGCUUUACGUUCAUGCUAAAAAUUGUGAAUGUUGCCAUCACAGGAGAUGUAACAGCCAAAAAGCUAUAGAUGACUGUCAUACAAUAACUGAUUUAGAGAAUAUCUGGAUAUAUUUUGAUUUGGUCAAAACAUGCCCUUUUGUGAAUAUUAAAUUAUUAGCUCUUCUGGUUACCUCUUAGGGGUGUGCAAAUGUACUACUCCAAAGCACUUUAACAAAUCUAGUAUUGUAUUGUACACAGACACUAUAAACAUAAUAAUG